GUCCACGCCCUAAACGAUGCAUAUUUGGUGUGGGCAGUUCAUUCUGUCCGUGCCGGAGCUAACGCGUUAAAUAUGCCGCCUGGGGAGUACAGUCGCAAGGCUGAAACUCAAAGGAAUUGACGGGGGCCCGCACAAGCGGUGGAGCAUGUGGUUCAAUUCGACGCAACGCGAAGAACCUUACCUGGGCUUGAACUGUAGGUCAACGGCGGUGGAAACAUCGCUACCCCGCAAGGGGGUCCUAUAGAGGUGCUGCAUGGCUGUCGU
rnacentral:rRNA from 1 species